UCAGGCAAGAGGGCCAACCACUGGCGA
rnacentral:piRNA from 1 species